GGAUUAGAUACCCUGGUAGUCCACACCGUAUACGCCGUCUACUAGCUGUGUGUGUCUUUAAGACGUGCGUAGCGAAGCUAACGCGCUAAGUAGACCGCCUGGGGAGUACGGCCGCAAGGUUAAAACUCAAAUGAAUUGACGGGGGCCCGCACAAGCGGUGGAGCAUGUGGUUUAAUUCGAUGCAACGCGAAGAACCUUACAUACACUUGACAUGCAGAGAACUUUCCGGAGAUGGAUUGGUGCCUUCGGGAACUCUGACACAGGUGCUGCAUGGCUGUCGUCAGCUCGUGUCG
rnacentral:rRNA from 1 species